rnacentral:rRNA from 1 species
AUUGAACGCUGGCGGCAGGCCUAACACAUGCAAGUCGAGCGAGCGGCGGACGGGUGAGUAAUGUCUGGGAAACUGCCCGCUGGAGGGGGAUAACUACUGGAAACGGUAGCUAAUACCGCAUACCAUCGGAUGUGCCCAGAUGGGAUUAGCUAGUAGGUGGGGUAACGGCGUACCUAGGCGACGAUCCCUAGCUGGUCUGAGAGGAUGACAAGCCACACUGUAACUGAGACACGGUCCAGAGUCCUAUGGGAGGCAGCAGUGGGGAAUAUUGCACAAUGGGCGCAAGCCUGAUGCAGCCAGGCCGCGGGUAUGAAGAAGGCCCUAGGGUUGUAAAGUACUUUCAGUCGGGAGGCGUUACCGACAGAAGAAGCACCGGCUAACUCCGUGCCAGCAGCCGCGGUAAUUC